rnacentral:rRNA from 2 species
CCAGUGCCGGUAAGUUAAAAAUGGUUGGUGACCUUCGCAAGUUGGAAGCUAGCUUUUUAAGCUCCGGUGAACGGCAGCAGUAACUAUAACUGUUCUAUGGUAGCGAAAUUCCUUGUCGGGCAAGUUCCGACCCGCACGAAAGGUAGAAUGACAUAGCAACUGUCUUGAACUAUAACUCGGCGAAAUUGAAAUGGCUGUGAAGAUGCGGCCUACCCACACUUGGACAAAAAGACCCCGUGAAGCUUUACUGUAAUUUGGCACUGAAGACAUUAUUUUGACUGUCGAGCAUAGGAGGGAGCCUUCGGGCAACAGUGGAAUACCUCUCUUCGAAAUGAUGAAAUCUUACUUAUUCCAGCAUAAAAAUCCUGGAACAGAACACUGUCAGAUGGGCAGUUUAACUGGGGAGGUUGCCUCCAAAAAUGUAACGGAGGCGUACAAAGGUUGGCUAACCCUGAAUGGAAACCAGGGCGUGUCGUGCAAUCGCGGCAAGCCAGCUUAACUGCGAGACGUACAGGUCGAGCAGAUACGAAAGUAGGUGAUAGUGAUCCUCGCAUCCCUCGUGGGAGGGAGCGGGCUUAACGGAUAAAAGCUACUCCGGGGAUAACAGGCUGAUCGCUUCCGAGCGUCCACAGCGACGAGGCGGUUUGGCACCUCGAUGUCGGCUCAUCCUAUCCUGGGGGUGGAGAAGCUCCCAAGGGUCCGGCUGUUCGCCGGUUAAAAGGGUACGCGAGCUGGGUUCAGAACGUCGUAAGACAGUAGACCGUGAUGAGAUAGACUCCAUCACAAAGAGCUGUCGGUUUUCCGAUGUUUUAUUACGAACCCCAUUGAGAAUAAUAAAAACUGUUAUAAAAAACGAAAACACCCCGCCAUCAUUAUAUUUAUGAUGUCGGCGGGGGAAAUCUGACUAUUUGCUGGAAACUCUGAGUAUCCGGUGGUACUCCGAUCAUAUCGGAGUAAUAAUCCAUCCGGUGCAGACAAUCAGCAGGGAAGGCUUUUUUCCACAAAAUGUGGAGGAGAGAACCCUCAGAGACUACAUGUCAGACGGAGAUAACUAU